GUACUCUUGAAGAGUCCAACAAUAGGAUGAAACAGCUGUCCAGUAC
rnacentral:hammerhead_ribozyme from 1 species